CGCGUAGGCGGCUCUGUAAGUCUGGAGUGAAAGUCCUCUUUUCAAGGGAGGAAUUGCUUUGGAAACUAUAGAGCUUGAGUGCAGGAGAGGUUAUCGGAAUUCCCGGUGUAGCGGUGAAAUGCGUAGAUAUCGGGAGGAACAUCGGUGGCGAAGGCGGGUAACUGGACUGCAACUGACGCUGAGGCGCGAAAGUGUGGGGAGCAAACAG
rnacentral:rRNA from 1 species